UAGUCAUAUGCUUGUCUUAAAGAUUAAGCCAUGCAUGUUUAAGUUUAAGUAAUUAAACAGCGAAACUGCGAAUGGCUCAUUAAAUCAGUUAUAAUCUACUCGAUCAACAGCUUCUUUACUCGGAUAACUGUAGUAAUUCUAGAGCUAAUACGUGCACUAAACACCUGACUUUACGGAAGGGUGGCGCUUGUUAGAUACAAAACCGGCCGUAGCAAUACGAGCUUUGGUGAUUCUAGCCAAGAUAGCAGACCGCAUAGCCUCGCGCUGGCGGCAGUUCGAUCGAGUUUCUGCCCUAUCAACUUGAUUGUAGUGUAUUGGACUACAAUGGUGAUAACGGGUGACGGGGAAUUAGGGUUCGAUUCCGGAGAGGGAGCCUGAGAAAUGGCUACCACUUCCAAGGAAGGCAGCAGGCGCGCAAAUUACCCAAUGUCAAUUCGACGAGGUAGUGACAAUAAAUAACGAUCCUGAGCCUUCUAGGCCUAGGAAUCGGAAUGAGUACAACGUAAAUAACUUAACAAGGAACAAUUG
rnacentral:rRNA from 1 species